GGUUGUGUGGUGUAGGGGUUAGCACUCCAGAUUCUGAUAAUUUCGUGCACGUGGACAUAUGGAUUUCUGGUAACCCCGGUUCGAUUCCGGGCACGACCU